CGGGCGUCCAGUAGCUCAGCAACAGGCUUGCCAACACACCCUGUCGCUUCAUGGCAGGGCUCGGUGCGUGCGGCGAGGCAGACGAAUCUCGUCCUGGAGCAGAGCAGCGGACUCAUAAUCCGUCGGCCGUGGGUUCGAGUCCCACCCGCCCCA
rnacentral:tRNA from 1 species